UGGUAUAAUAUGGUACUAUGAUAAUUAUUUCUUAUUAUUUUUGUAUUUUUAUUUUAUUUAUUUCAUACAAACAUUUGAUAGAAAAAUAAAAUUGCAAGCAACCACACUAGGAAGUCCAGUGGUAAAAUUGGCAUUUUCAUAUUAAUGGAAAAUGGAAAGAAUAUUGUUCAUAUUUUGUCAUUUUCCAGUGAAACAAAAUGAAAAUUUUCAAGCAGG
rnacentral:lncRNA from 1 species